rnacentral:tRNA from 1 species
GCCCUGGUGGCGCAAUGGUUAUGCAUUCAGUUGCUAACAGAAAGGUCAGUGGUUCAAACCCACCCAGUGGCU